rnacentral:rRNA from 1 species
GAUCAAGUAAAGGAAGAGCACAAGGCGGAUGCCUUGGCAGCAUAAGGCGAUGAAGGACGUAGUAACCUGCGAUAAGCCUCGGGAAGUUGGUAAACAAAUUUUGAUCCGAGGAUUUCCGAAUGGGAAAACCCAAUAUACAUAAGUAUAUUAUCUUAUACUGAAUACAUAGGUAUAAGAGGCAAACCUAGGGAACUGAAACAUCUAAGUACCUAGAGGAAAAGAAAUCAAUUGAGAUUCCGGUAGUAGCGGCGAGCGAAACCGGAUCAGCCCUUAAGCUUUUUUUAGUCCAGCAAAAUAUUCUGGAAAGUUUAGCCAUAGUAGGUGAUAGCCCUGUAUGUGAAAGACUAAUUAAAGUGAAAUCGAGUAGGUCGGGACACGUGAAAUCUUGACUGAAUAUGGGGGGACCAUCCUCCAAGGCUAAAUACUCUAUGCUGACCGAUAGUGAACCAGUACCGUGAGGGAAAGGCGAAAAGAACCCCGGCGAGGGGAGUGAAAUAGAACCUGAAAUCUUGUGCUUACAAGCAGUCGGAGCAGACUUGUUCUGUGACGGCGUACCUUUUGUAUAAUGGGUCAACGACUUAAUUUCAGUAGCAAGCUUAACCAUAUAGGGGAGGCGUAGGGAAACCGAGUCUUAAUAGGGCGUUUAGUUUCUGGAAUUAGACCCGAAACCGGGUGAUCUAUCCAUGGCCAGUGUGAAGGUCGAGUAACAUCGACUGGAGGCGCGAACCCACUUAUGUUGAAAAAUGAGGGGAUGAGCUGUGGAUAGGAGUGAAAGGCUAAUCAAACCCGGAGAUAGCUGGUUCUCUUCGAAAACUAUUUAGGUAGUGCCUCGUGUAUUACCAUAGGGGGUAGAGCACUGUUUCGGCUAGGGGGUCAUCCCGACUUACCAAACCGAUGCAAACUCCGAAUACCUAUGAGUAUGAGCACGGGAGACAGACUGCGGGUGCUAACGUCCGUAGUCGAGAGGGAAACAACCCAGACUGUCAGCUAAGGUCCCUAAUUAUGAUUAAGUGGGAAACAAUGUGGGAAGGCACAAACAGCUAGGAGGUUGGCUUAGAAGCAGCCACCCUUUAAAGAAAGCGUAAUAGCUCACUAGUCGAGUCGGCCUGCGUGGAAGAUAUAACGGGGCUAAAUCAUAAACCGAAGCUACAGAUCUUUUAAGAUGGUAGAAGAGCGUUCUGUAAGCCGCUGAAGGUAAGCUGUGAGGCGAACUGGAGGUAUCAGAAGUGCGAAUGUUGACAUGAGUAACGAUCAAAGAGGUGAAAAACCUCUUCGCCGAAAAACUAAGGGUUCCUGUCCAACGCUAAUCGAGGCAGGGUGAGUCGGCCCCUAAGGCGAGGGCGAAAGCCGUAGUCGAUGGGAAACAGGUUAAUAUUCCUGUACUUUUUACAAUUGCGAUGGGGUGACGGAGAAGGUUAAGUUAGCACGGCGACGGUUGUCCGUGUUUAAGAUUGUAGGCCGAUAUUUCAGGUAAAUCCGGAAUAUUAAAGCUG